rnacentral:tRNA from 1 species
GGAUUGUAGCUCAGUGGUAGAGCACUUGCCUAGCAUGUGUGAGGCUCUGGGUUUGAGUCUCAGCACCA